GACAGAUGGGAGCUUGCUCCUGAUGUUAGCGGCGGACGGGUGAGUAACACGUGGGUAACCUGCCUGUAAGACUGGGAUAACUCCGGGAAACCGGGGCUAAUACCGGAUGCUUGUUUGAACCGCAUGGUUCAAACAUAAAAGGUGGCUUCGGCUACCACUUACAGAUGGACCCGCGGCGCAUUAGCUAGUUGGUGAGGUAACGGCUCACCAAGGCGACGAUGCGUAGCCGACCUGAGAGGGUGAUCGGCCACACUGGGACUGAGACACGGCCCAG
rnacentral:rRNA from 1 species